GCGGUGCCUGCGAGCGGGCGGCCCGGGCUGUAGUGCCGGCGCCGCAGCGUUUUCCCGGUCUCCCUUCCCGGCCGCGCAGGGUUUUACAGGAUCACAUUAAGACAAACACCAUGGAGUUUUAUGAGUCAACGUAUUUUAUUGUCCUUAUACCUUCAGUAGUCAUUACAGUAAUUUUCCUCUUCUUCUGGCUUUUCAUGAAAGAAACAUUAUAUGAUGAAGUUCUUGCAAAACAGAAAAGAGAACAAAAACUUAUUCCUACCAAAACAGAUAAGAAGAAGGCAGAAAAGAAAAAGAAUAAAAAGAAAGAAAUUCAGAAUGGGAAUCUCCAUGAAUCUGAUUCUGAAAGUGUACUGCGGGACUUCAAAUUAUCUGAUGUUUUGGCUGUAGAAGAUGAGCAAGUUGUACCUGUUCCAUUGAAUGUGGUUGAAACCCCAAGUAGUGUUAGAGAAAGAAAGAAGAAGGAAAAGAAAUACAAGCCUGUACUAGAAGAGCAGGUCACCAAAGAAAGUGAUAUAUCAAAGGUUCCAGGCAAAAAAGUAGAAAAAGUAGAACCUGUCCCAGUUACUACACAGCCAACUCCCCCUUCUGAAGCAACUGCCUCAAAGAAAAAACCAGGGCAGAAGAAGCCUAAAAACGGAAGCGAUGAUCAGGAUAAAAAGGUGGAAAUUCUUACGGUGCCUUCAAAAAAGCAGGAAUCAUUACCUCUCCAUCAAGAGACUAAGCAAGAAAGUGGAUCAGGAAAGAAGAAAGUGUCAUCAAAGAAGCAAAAGACAGAAAAUGUCUUGGUAGAUGAACCCCUUACUCAUGCAACUACUUAUAUUCCUCUGGUGGAUAAUGCAGAUUCAGACCCUGUGGUGGAUAAAAGAGACAUUAUUGAUUUGAUUAAACCUCAGCAAAUAGAAGGAAUCCAGAAAAUGGGGGCUAAAAAACCGAAGAUUGAAACUGACAAAGAAAAUGCUGAAGUGAAAUUUAAAGAUUUUCUUUUGUCCUUGAAAACUAUGAUGUUUUCAGAAGAUGAAGCUCUCUGUAUUGUAGACCUACUAAAAGAGAAGUCUGGUGUAAUACAGGAUGCUUUUAAGAAGUCAAGUAAAGGAGAAUUGACUGCACUUAUACAUCAGCUUCAAGAGAAAGACAAGUUACUUGCUGCAGUGAAGGAAGACGUUGCUGCUACAAAGGAUCGGUGUAAGCAGUUAACCCAGGAAAUGAUGGCUGAGAAAGAAAGAAGCAGUAUGGUUAUAGCAAGGAUGAAAGACCGGAUUGGAACAUUAGAAAAGGAACAUAAUGUGUUUCAAAAUAAAAUGCAUGUCAGUUAUCAAGAGACUCAACAGAUGCAGAUGAAGUUUCAGCAAGUCCGCGAGCAGAUGGAGGCAGAGAUAGCGCAUUUGAAACAGGAAAAUGGCAUUCUGAGGGAUGCUGUCAGCAACACUACAAACCAACUAGAAAGCAAGCAGUCUGCUGAACUAAACAAAUUGCGCCAGGAUUACGCUAGGUUGGUGAAUGAACUGACUGAGAAAACUGGAAAGCUACAGCAAGAGGAAGUCCAAAAGAAGAAUGCUGAGCAAGCAGUUACUCAGUUGAAGGUUCAACUACAAGAAGCUGAGAGAAGGUGGGAAGAAGUUCAGAGCUAUAUCAGGAAGAGAACUGCAGAGCAUGAGGCAGCACAGCAAGAUUUACAGAGUAAAUUUGUGGCCAAAGAAAAUGAAGUGCAAAGUCUGCAUAGUAAGCUUACUGAUACCUUGGUAUCAAAACAACAGUUGGAACAAAGACUAAUGCAGUUAAUGGAAUCAGAGCAAAAAAGGGUGAACAAAGAAGAAUCUCUGCAAAUGCAAGUCCAGGAUAUUUUGGAGCAGAACGAGGCUUUGAAAGCUCAAAUUCAGCAAUUCCAUUCCCAGAUAGCAGUUCAGACUUCCGCUUCAGUUCUAGCAGAAGAAUUACAUAAAGUGAUUGCAGAAAAGGAUAAGCAGAUAAAGCAGACUGAAGAUUCUUUAGCAAAUGAACAUGAUCAUUUAGCAAGUAAAGAGGAGGAACUUAAGGAUAUACAGAAUAUGAAUUUCUUAUUAAAAGCUGAAGUGCAAAAGUUACAGGCCCUUGCAAAUGAGCAGGCUGCUGCUGCACAUGAACUAGAGAAAAUGCAAAAAAGUGUUCAUGUUAAGGAUGAUAAAAUAAGGUUGCUUGAAGAGCAGCUACAGUGUGAAAUUUCAAACAAAAUGGAUGAAUUUAAGAUUUUAAAUGAACAAAACAAAGAAUUGCAAUUAGAAGUUCAGAAGCUACAGAUUCUUGUUUCUGAACAGCCUAAUAAAGAUGUUGUGGAACAAAUGGAAAAAUGCAUUCAAGAAAAAGAUGAGAAGUUGAAGACUGUGGAAGAAUUGCUUGAAACUGGACUUAUUCAGGUGGCCACUAAAGAGGAGGAACUAAAUGCAAUACGAACUGAAAAUUCAUCUCUAACAAAAGAAGUUCAAGACUUAAAGGCUAAGCAAAAUGAUCAGGUUUCUUUUGCAUCUGUAGUUGAAGAACUUAAGAAAGUCAUCCAUGAAAAAGAUGGAAAGAUCAAAACUGUGGAAGAACUGUUAGAAGCUGAACUUCUCAAAGUUGCUAAUAAGGAGAAAACUAUUCAGGAUUUGAAUCAGGAAAUAAAGGCUCUAAAAGAAGAAAUAGGAAAUAUCCAGCUUGAAAAGGCUGAACAGUUAUCUAUUACUUCUCAAGUUCAGGAGCUUCAGAAUUUAUUAAAAGGAAAGGAAGAACAGAUGAAUACCAUGAAGACUGAUUUAGAAGAGAAGGAGAAAGAUCUGGCCAACAGAGGGAAGUGGUUACAGGAUCUUCAAGAAGAAAAUGAAACUUUAAAAGCUCAUGUUCAGGAGGUAGCACAUCAUAACUUGAAAGAGGCCUGUCCUACAUCACGAUUUGAAGAACUUGAGACUGUGUUGAAAGAAAAAGAAAAUGAAAUGAAGAGAAUAGAAACUAUGCUAAAAGAGAGGGAAAAUGAUCUUUCUAGCAAAACAAAGCUGUUACAGGUGGUACAAGAGGAAAACAAAUUGUUUAAAUCCCACAUUGAGCAGCUUAAGCAACAGAACUACCAACAGGCAUCUUUUCCUCCUCAUGAAGAACUACUAAAAGUAAUUUCAGAAAGGGAGAGAGAAAUAUCUGAUCUCCAGAAGGAAUUAAAUUCUUUGAAGGAUGCUAUUGAACACCAGAGGAAGAAAAACAAUGACCUUCGGGAGAAAAACUGGGAAGCAAUGGAAGCAUUGGCAUCAACUGAAAAAAUGCUGCAGGACAAAGUGAACAAGACUUCCAAGGAAAGACAACAACAUGUGGAAGCUGUUGAAUUGGAAGCUAAGGAAGUUCUCAAAAAAUUAUUUCCUAAGGUGUCUGUCCCUUCUAAUUUGAGUUAUAGUGAAUGGUUGCAUGGAUUUGAAAAGAAGGCAAAAGAAUGUGUGGGUGAAACUGCUGGUUCAGAGGAGAUUAAGGUUCUAGAGCACAAGCUGAAAGAAGCUGAUGAAAUGCACUCGUUGUUGCAGCUAGAGUGUGAAAAAUAUAAAUCCGUCCUUGCAGAAACAGAAGGAAUUUUGCAGAAGCUACAGAGAAGUGUGGAGCAAGAAGAGAAUAAAUGGAAAGUUAAGGUUGAUGAAUCACAAAAGACUAUUAAACAGAUGCAGUUGUCAUUCACAUCUUCGGAACAAGAGCUGGAGAGAUUAAGAAAACAGAAUAAAGAUGUUGAAAAACUGAGAAGAGAACGAGAACAUUUGGAAAUGGAACUAGUGAAGGCAGAAAUUGAACGAUCUACCUAUGUUACAGAAGUCAGAGAGUUAAAGACACUGUUGAAUGAAACACUCACAAAACUUAGAAUUGAACAAAGUGAAAGACAGAAGGUAGCUGGUGAUUUGCAUAAGGCUCAGCAGUCACUGGAUCUAAUCCAGUCAAAAAUAGGAAAAGCUGCUGGAGACACUACUGUUAUUGAGAAUAGUGAUGUUUCCCCAGAAAUGGAGUCUUCUGAGAAGGAGACAAUGUCUUUAAGUCUAAAUCAGACUGUAACACAGUUACAACAGCUGCUUCAGGAAGUAAACCAACAGCUUACAAAGGAGAAAGAACACUACUAGGGUUUAGAGUGAUUGCCCUCUGGCCUGCCUUAGCAUAUGCUCUUCUUUAAAAUGAUAUUUCAUGACAGUUAACCUCUAAGAAGAUUUUCCAAGUAAACCCAGCUCAUUCUUUUAACAUGUCAGCAAAAAUAACUAUUCCUUAAUCUUUAUUCUUGAGUGAAGCAGUUGGAAAACUGUUCAUUCAACAGAAGGCAUUGUAUUAUAUUUUGCCAAAUUAAAGCCUUAUUUAUGUUUUCACCCUUUCUACUUUGUCAAAAACACUGAACAAAGUUUUUGUCUUUUCUAAUCCUUGUUAGACUACUGAUUUAAAGAGAGAAAAAAAAAAGCCAACUCUGUAGACAUCAUCAGAGUUUAGUUUUGUAAUAAAACUGUUUGAAUAAUUAGACAUUUACAUUCCUGAAGAUAAAAUAUACAUGUAAUCUUUUAUCUUAUUUUGCUCAAUAAAAUUGUUCAGAAGAUCAAAAGUGGUAAAGACAAUGUAAUAUCUAACAUUUUAUUACUGAUGUUGUACACUGUUUUACUUAACAUUUUGAGGAGUAACUGCCUCUGACUACAACUCAAGAAAACACUUUUUGUUGCUAAUGUAAUCGGUUUUUGUAAUGGCGUCAGCAAAUAAAGGGAUGCUUAUUAUUCAGACUCUA